GACGAGCUUAUUCCAAAUCGAGACACCAAUGUGACCAGUGCUAAGAAGUUCCAAAAGAGGAAGGACGAUCCAUAAAGAAAAAUAAGCAUACAAAUAAAAGUAGCUGAGAAAGACCCAAAAGUUUGAACUCUACGCUGAGAAUCGCCUUCUUCAUCUCGAUUCAUUCUACACUUCAUAGUCUUGAGUCUGUAUCAAUAUUACCUCGUACGGUCAAGCCGAUGAGAAAAAUAUUAAUAAUUUACAUAAUUCUAAAACUGCAUAAAAAGCGAUGGAUAUGCAGUUACCUGUUAUUUAUGGAGGAAUAAAAAUAGAAAAUAUCUUAAUGAUAGAUCAAGAGAACGUCUUAAUACGAGAACGUCUUAAAUUGAGCUACCUGGACAUUGCUUUCGAUGUGAUGCUCACAUUAUUAGCAACGUUCAUAUUCACAUAUAUCGAGUAAAGCCGAACAAGACAUUCAGACAAGUAUUAAAUCGAUAUAAUGAAGGCUACUAUGAACAUGGAUUCUUAACAAUUCGCUACAGCACGAGGAAUAAGUAGAAGUAAAUAUACGCAUAUAUACAAAUAUAUCUAAAACCAUCUAUAAAUCAUUAUGUUUUAUUAUAUGUACAAUAACCUGUAUAUGUUUAUAUACGUAUAUUUGUAUUUGUGUCUUUAUGACCUAUCUCUGUUCAACUUUAUAUUUCUAAAUAUGUGAAUCAAAUUAAAAUUAAUCCUAUAUAUGUACAGAACAUAUAUAGGGUAAUUUGAAUUUAUUCAAAAUGUUUAGUAACAUCUAAUCGAACA